rnacentral:rRNA from 1 species
AACGAACGCUGGCGGCGCGCCUAAUACAUGCAAGUCGAGCGAGAAGGUGUAGCAAUACACUUGUAAAGCGGCGAACGGGUGAGGAAUACAUGGGUAAUCUACCAUCGAGUGGGGAAUAACCAACCGAAAGGUUGGCUAAUACCGCGUACGCCUCCGAGUCUUCGGGUUCGGAGGGAAAGCUGCACUGUGAGUGUAGCGCUCUUUGAUGAGCUCAUGUCCUAUCAGCUUGUUGGUAGGGUAACGGCCUACCAAGGCUUUGACGGGUAGCUGGUCUGAGAGGACGAUCAGCCACACUGGCACUGCGACACGGGCCAGACUCCUACGGGAGGCAGCAGUAAGGAAUAUUGCGCAAUGGCGAAAGCCUGACGCAGCGACGCCGCGUGGGGGAUGAAGGUCUUCGGAUUGUAAACCCCUUUCGGGAGGGAAGAUGGAACGAGCAAUCGUUCGGACGGUACCUCCAGAAGCAGCCACGGCCAACUUCGUGCCAGCAG